UCACAGCUCCUGUGCUGGCCUGGCAGCCUGGUCUGGAUGCUCUCACAAGCCACCCAGCAUGCAGACAAUUGCUUAAUCUGCUGUGGAAGCAAAAGGACAAUAUAAUUUUAGGCCUCAUUCAAAAGAUGUUGGGAGAGCAAAUGAAAAACCCCUCUGCAAUUAGGUUUGCAACUGUUGAUGUUGAACUGAUAAUCGGUCCACAGCCCACCCUCAGGCCUGUGGGAGAUGGGUGUACAGCUGGAGGCUCCAGCCCUGGGGCAUUCUAUUGCCCAGUGGUUUUCAGCUUCUUUGAUGCACUUGGAGCCCCAAAAAUUAGAGGCCUGACAUUUGGGCAUCCCAUAGAAAUUGGGAUACUGCCCUACUUGGAAGGGAAUUUAUCAUUUCAGAGUCCAUAGCACAAGGAGAGAGUAAAUGUAUGGCAAAUGCUGAACCUUUAGGCUCAACCCAUGCCUCUGAAAAUAGGCCUGAGUACUUCACUAGGGAGAUGCAUUGAAGGAACACAACCCCUACAGCCCAGAAACAUCAGGCAGGUGGGCAGGGUCUCCAGAAUGCACCUGGACCUCCCAGCAGAUCUCAUUAGCUGGAACUGCCUCCUCCCAGGGCCAAGCAAGACCUGAAUGCUUACACCUGCCAGUGCUACAGUCCUUCAGGAGCAAGAUGUGAUGGUGAUGCAUCAAUGCCUUGUGUGAGACAACACUGGAGAACUGGCAUCUCUUCCUCCAGCAGUUAGAUCUGAAGGCGAUGGAGGAAGGAAGGAAGUGGGCACAGAGAGAGUGACAUGAAAUCCAUGCUUGAAGAUCCAUUGUGGCUACAAAGGAGAUUGCGUGGCCCAGGAUAGAUCCUGAGUGACUUUGACAAGAACAAGGAAUAUUGAUUAUCCACAACUCACCACUCCUGGAUGCACUAUGCAUGGAGUCCACACGUUUACCCUAGCAGCCUCAAGGCCACCUCUCCAUCCAUGACAGCCUAAUGGAUGUGAGCUGGUACUUCAUGCACUGUUUUCAUUACAGAUAGUGACAGCCUGAUGAUACUCAGUUUCAUAAGCUGCUAUGUUUGAAAUUGCUUCAUUUCCUACAGACAAGCCAAAUUCUUCUCAGCUUCACCAACGCUUGUUCUUAGUAGCAGCAAUCAUGAUGAGAAUAUGACUUUUUGUCAUUGUAUCCUAAAUUUAUCUGAGAGCCUCUGGCAUGGAAUUUGUUUCUCACCAAGCCGUGAGGAAUAUCUUGUAAGUCAAUAUCAUUAAGAACCAAGUCUUGAGGAUAAAUCUUCCCUCUAAGGUGUUAAUCAGUGGUCCUCAGGCAAGGAAUUGGGAGUUGGAGGGAAGUCUCAGUGAUCAACUGUCUCCAACCAGUCACAGGAUAUAAGAGCAGCAAAUCAAGUAGUUGCAGAUUCCUUCAGUAUCCAGACACAUGGCCCCUGAGGACAUGAAAAUUCAGAGUGUGAUUUCACUGGCCCAGAGUUCAUGCAAGGUCUCAGUGAGAUCCACACUUUAUAUUUCAUUCAGAAUGUUUUGUAUUUCACCUAGAAUAUUAACUUCAAGAAUGAGAAGAAAGGUGAAAAAGUUCGCAGUAAAAAUGGUAAUGAAAACUGUCUUGGGUAAAGCAACUUCAUAAGAAUUGUUAAUUUGUAGUGUUUCUGGUUGGUAUGACAUUUUAAACAGCUCUUUCUACCCACACUCUUAAAGUGA